GACAGAGGAUGCAAGCGUUAUCCGGAAUUAUUGGGCGUAAAGCGUCUGUAGGUGGCUUUUCAAGUCCGCCGUCAAAUCCCAGGGCUCAACCCUGGACAGGCGGUGGAAACUACCAAGCUGGAGUACGGUAGGGGCAGAGGGAAUUUCCGGUGGAGCGGUGAAAUGCAUUGAGAUCGGAAAGAACACCAGUGGCGAAGGCGGCUACCUGGACAGCUACUGACACUGAGGCGCGAGAGCGUGGGGAGCAAACAGG
rnacentral:rRNA from 1 species